rnacentral:rRNA from 1 species
CCUAACACAUGCAAGUCGAACGGUAACAGGAAGAAGCUUGCUUCUUUACUGACGAGUGGCGGACGGGUGAGUAAUGUCUGGGAAACUGCCUGAUGGAGGGGGAUAACUACUGGAAACGGUAGCUAAUACCGCAUAACGUCGCAAAACCAAAGAGGGGGACCUUCGGGCCUCUUGCCAUCGGAUGUGCCCAGAUGGGAUUAGCUAGUAGGUGGGGUAACGGCUCACCUAGGCGACGAUCCCUAGCUGGUCUGAGAGGAUGACCAGCCACACUGGAACUGAGACACGGUCCAGACUCCUUCGGGAGGCAG